UGUCGUGCCAACGGCAUAGCUGGGUAGCUAUGUGUGGACGGGAUAAGUGCUGAAAGCAUCUAAGCAUGAAGCCCCCCUCAAGAUGAGAUUUCCCAACUUCGGUUAUAAGAUCCCUCAAAGAUGAUGAGGUUAAUAGGUUCGAGGUGGAAGCAUGGUGACAUGUGGAGCUGACGAAUACUAAUCGAUCGAAGACUUAAUCAA
rnacentral:rRNA from 1 species